rnacentral:lncRNA from 1 species
AGAGAGCAAAUUAGAAUCCAAGGAAGUUGACAUGUCAUCACUUCAUUUUUUUGCGCCUGCGCAUAAAUCUGAGAAACGUGAGUUUUGUCUUCAUUGUUUAUCUCGACAUAGGAUAGGUUAUGUGAAAAUAUUACUGAUGUUUAACGUUAAAAAUGGACCAAAAGAUUAAUGCUAAACAACAUUUGACAUGUUUGAACGAACAUAAAUAGAUUAUUUACUAGGUUUUUUUAGCUUUUCGGCGUGAUUUUACAGUCCCCCACCACGUUUUGUGGGAGCAUAAUGAACGCUAAGUACUUGGUGUUAUUUGGACAUAAAUUAUGAACUUUGUCAAAAGAAACCACAUUUGUUCCGGACCUGUGAUGCCUUCCGGACCUGGGAUGCCAGGCUUCUGAUGGAGAUAAUCAAAGCCUUGUUAGCAAUCCCGGCUCGGGGUUCAUUGCUAACCUGUAGCCCCAACAGGUUUUAACAGCCGAGAAACCCACUCUGACUUCACCCCAUCUGCCUAAAUAGAUAGAGUUUGCUGCUUUCUUGUCUUGUAUCGUCUCGGCGUCCAUACACUGAGUGUGUAGGUGGAAACUUCAAUGGGUGCAGUGGUCCACCUUCAAUAUGGCCUACAUGGUUGCUGUAUGGACAGUAGAGAGGACAUGGAUGUCUCGUUUGUCAUGCCACUUUACUGCCAGCUGUUGACCGUUCUCCUUGAACUCCGCCUCCCCUCUCUGCAUCUUCCUGCAUCCGAAUGCUGGCAUCCCCUUCCUGUUUGACCUGACUGUGCCACAGGCCCCUGUGCUGUUGGAGAGCAGAUGCUGGAAGAGUGUGGGACUGCUGUAACAAUUGUCC